AUGCACGCUGGCGGCGUGCCUCAUCCAUGCCAGUCGCGCGAACAGACGAGGAGCUUGCUCCUCUGACGUUAGCGGCGGACGGGUGAGUAACACGUGGAUAACCUACCUAUAAGACUGGGAUAACUUCGGGAAACCGGAGCUAAUACCGGAUAAUAUAUUGAACCGCAUGGUUCAAUAGUGAAAGACGGUUUUGCUGUCACUUAUAGAUGGAUCCGCGCCGCAUUAGCUAGUUGGUAAGGUAACGGCUUACCAAGGCAACGAUGCGUAGCCGACCUGAGAGGGUGAUCGGCCACACUGGAACUGAGACACGGUCCAGACUCCUACGGGAGGCAGCAGUAGGGAAUCUUCCGCAAUGGGCGAAAGCCUGACGGAGCAACGCCGCGUGAGUGAUGAAGGUCUUCGGAUCGUAAAACUCUGUUAUUAGGGAAGAACAAAUGUGUAAGUAACGAUGCACGUCUUGACGGUACCUAAUCAGAAAGCCACGGCUAACUACGU
rnacentral:rRNA from 1 species